AUUCCUGAGUGGGAUGGCAACUUUCCCGAGCCUCCACCAUCAAGCCUUGUGCUGGCCACCAGAGGGACUCAGGAAUGGUGCUGGAGGCUGAGGGCAUUGUUGCAGAGGGU
ensembl:miRNA gga-mir-6664 gga-mir-6664